AACAGGGGCAAAUGGGCUUCCACUUGCAAAAAUGGCACGACCCUGCAUGCAAAGAAGAAAGAAAUGUUGGUCUAUAUAAAAUCCAGCAGUCCUAUGGUAGGCAGUGUAUUAAGUAAAAAUCAUAUGCAAAGGUGAAGGAAAAGCACCGUGAUAUGCUAAUUUCUUGUCGGCAAAUAACACAUACAAAUAACGUUUGCAUUACCUUACUCCAUGUAUAAGCUUCUUCAGCGGUACAUUCAGACUGUGAAGUUGGGUUGGAAAGAGCAAGAAUUAUAGGUCUCUGCACGAGAUAAUGUAACAUAUGGUUAUCUCAGAGUUCAAAAUUCAACACCAAAGUAGAUGGAUAAAGAUUCAUACCUCAUUGAAAGAGGCCACAGCCUCAACCACUUCUUUAGUAAAUGUUCUUCCUACCCCUGAUGUUCCAAUCAACACUGUUGGCUUAAUGUCAUUGACAGCAUCCAGAAGUGUCUUUAUAGGUUCAUGUUCAUGAGCCCAUGGCUUCUUGAAAUGUUGGAGUGAU
rnacentral:misc_RNA from 1 species